CAAGAUUUUUCUUUAUUUAGUUAUUAAAAAAAUACAGUAUGUUCCAUGCACCAGUGUAGCCUAUAUAUAUAUAUAUAGUCAUUAUUAGUAGAGCAGUUACUACAAUGAUAGGAAACAGAUGGUUACAGGAAUUUCUUGAUCCAACUAAAAAACCUGAAAUAAAAUUGUUAACCUAAAUAGAAACCUGCUAAUUAUGCAAAUACCCUUAUUCUAUAUGUCUAUGAGAGCUAGAAAUGUUGGAAGAGACACAGGCGACCACAGGACUUGAGCAGGGGCCUUGCCUUGUGCAGGGAGGGGGCCCUGCUGGGGUUCCCUGAGAUGUGGCAGCAAUGGGGUGUGAAGACAAAUGACACGGCUCUGUUGUGUAGUCAUGGGUCACAUCCUAAGUGCCACUAUGCCAAGAGAUCAAGAGUAGAUGGAAAGAAAGAAAAAAAGAGCAUGAACGAGUCACCAGGAGAUAUGGGGAGAGGUCUUUCAUUCUGGGAACACCUGCCCUGCUUCCCAGGCAAAACUGGAGGGGUGUCAUGAGUCUCAAAUUGGGGUCACAGUGACCCCCAGCCCCUUCCGGAGGGAGUGGGU
rnacentral:lncRNA from 1 species